rnacentral:rRNA from 1 species
UUAUCGAGGGUGUGACGGAGAAGGAUAGUGUGUGCUAGCGAUUGGAAAUGCUAGUCUAAGCGUUUAGGCAGUUACGGUAGGCAAAUCCGCUGUAACGUUAAUGCUGAGGCGUGAUGGGGAAGGCCCUUGAGGCUGAAGUACAUGAUUCCAUGCUUCCAAGAAAAGCAUCUAGAGAGAGAAGUAGUGCCCGUACCGCAAACCGACACAGGUAGAUGAGGAGAGAAUCCUAAGGCCGGCGGAAGAAUUGCAGUUAAGGAACUAGGCAAAUUGACCCCGUAAGUUAGCGAGAAGGGGUGCCUGCGAGAGCAGGCCGCAGAGAAUAGGCCCAAGCAACUGUUUAGCAAAAACACAGGUCUCUGCUAAAGCGCAAGCUGAUGUAUAGGGGCUGACGCCUGCCCGGUGCUGGAAGGUUAAGGGGAACACUUAGCGCGAGCGAAGGUGUGAACUUAAGCCCCAGUAAACGGCGGCCGUAACCAUAACGGUCCUAAGGUAGCGAAAUUCCUUGUCAGGUAAGUUCUGACCCGCACGAAUGGCGUAAUGACUUGGGCACUGUCUCAACUGCAAAUCCGGCGAAGUUGUAGUGCGAGUGAAGAUGCUCGCUACCCGCGAUUGGACGGAAAGACCCCGUAGAGCUUUACUGUAGCUUAGCAUUGAAUUCCGGUAUUGUCUGUACAGGAUAGGUGGGAGACUGGGAAACUAGGGCGUCAGCCUUGGUGGAGUCGUCCUUGGGAUACCACCCUGACAGUACUGGGGUUCUAACAGGACGCCAUGAAUCUGGUGACUGGACAUUGUUAGGUGGGCAGUUUGACUGGGGCGGUCGCCUCCUAAAAAGUAACGGAGGCGCCCAAAGGUUCCCUCAGAACGGUCGGAAAUCGUUCGUAGAGUGCAAAGGCAGAAGGGAGCCUGACUGCGAGACCUACAAGUCGAGCAGGGACGAAAGUCGGGCUUAGUGAUCCGGUGGUACCUCGUGGGAGGGCCAUCGCUCAACGGAUAAAAGCUACCUCGGGGAUAACAGGUUGAUCUCCCCCAAGAGUCCACAUCGACGGGGAGGUUUGGCACCUCGAUGUCGGCUCGUCGCAUCCUGGGGCUGUAGUAGGUCCCAAGGGUUGGGCUGUUCGCCCAUUAAAGCGGCACGCGAGCUGGGUUCAGAACGUCGUGAGACAGUUCGGUCCCUAUCCGUCGCGGGCGUAGGAAAUUUGAGAGGAGCUGUCCUUAGUACGAGAGGACCGGGAUGGACUGACCUCUGGUGCACCAGUUGUUCUGCCAAGAGCAUGGCUCGGUAGCUAAGUCGGGAAGGGAUAAACGCUGAAAGCAUCUAAGCGUGAAGCCUCCCUCAAGAUGAGAUUUCCCAUAGCAUAAGCUAGUAAGACCCCUUGAAGAACACGAGGUUGAUAGGUCAGAGGUGUAAGUGUGGUAACAUAUUUAGCUGACUGAUACUAAUAGGUCGAGGGCUUGACCAG